GCCCUCUUAGCUCAGUGGUAGUAGCGCGUCACUAGUAACGGAGAAAUUUCGGAGCUCAAUGACGAGGUCAGUCGUUCAAAUCGGCUAGAGGGCA